rnacentral:rRNA from 1 species
GACGAACGCUGGCGGCGUGCCUAAUACAUGCAAGUCGAACGAGUGGCGGACGGGUGAGUAACACGUGGGAACCUACCCAUCCGAGGGGGAUAACCACUUGAAACGUUGGCUAAUACCGCAUACUAUCGGCUGUACCCUUAUGGGAUUAGCUAGUAGGUGGGGUAAAGGCUCACCUAGGCGACGAUCACUAGCGGGUCUGAGAGGGUGAUCAGCCACACUGGGACUGAGACACGGCCCAGACUCCUACGGGAGGCAGAAGUGGGGAAUAUUGCACAAUGGGCGAAAGCCUGAUGCAGCCAUGCCGCGUGUAUGAAGAAGGCCUUGGGGUUGUAAAGUACUUUCAGUAGGGAGGCGUUACCCACAGAGGAAGCACCGGCUAACUCCGUGCCAGCAGCCGCGGUAAUAC